rnacentral:sRNA from 1 species
UACCGGCGAAUGAAUAAGCCGAUGUCUGGAAUCCCGGCUCGUCCCCCGCCGCCUCCGGACAAUGGACAAGGGUCCCCCGCCCCUCAGUGACCCUUGUCCGACCAAUAAGCCGCCAUGGCCUCCCCCCGGUCAUGGCGGCUUUUC